rnacentral:rRNA from 1 species
CCUACGGGAGGCAGCAGUGGGGAAUAUUGGGCAAUGGGCGCAAGCCUGACCCAGCAACGCCGCGUGAAGGAAGAAGGCUUUCGGGUUGUAAACUUCUUUUGUCAGGGAAGAGUAGAAGACGGUACCUGACGAAUAAGCCACGGCUAACUACGUGACAGCAGCCGCGGUAAUACGUAGGGGGCAAGCGUUGUCCGGAUUUACUGGGUGUAAAGGGCGUGUAGCCGGGUUGACAAGUCAGAUGUGAAAUCCUGCGGCUUAACCGCAGAACUGCAUUUGAAACUGUGGAUCUUGAGUACUGGAGAGGCUGACGGAAUUCCAGGUGUAGCAGUGAAAUGCGUAGAUAUUAGGAGGAACACCAGUGGCGAAGGCGGUCUGCUGGACAGCAACUGACGGUGAGGCGCGAAAGCGUGGGGAGCAAACAGGAUUAGAUACCCUUGUAGUC